AACGAACGUUAGCGGCGCGCCUAACACAUGCAAGUCGAACGCGACAGGGGCAACUCUGUUGAGUGGCGCACGGGUGAGUAACACGUAGGUAAUCUCCCCCCGCGUGGUGGAUAACCUUCCGAGCGGAGGGCUAAUACAGCAUAAGACCACGGCUUCGAAAGGAGCUGAGGUCAAAGCGGAGGAUCGCAAGACUUCGCGCUUGGGGAUGAGCCUGCGGCCCAUCAGGUAGUUGGCGGGGUAACAGCCCAACAAGCCUAAGACGGGUAGCUGGUCUGAGAGGAUGAUCAGCCACACUGGAACUGAGACACGGUCCAGACUCCUACGGGAGGCAGCAGUGGGGAAUCUUGCGCAAUGGACGAAAGUCUGACGCAGCGACGCCGCGUGGGUGAUGAAGGCCUUCGGGUUGUAAAGCCCUGUGGGGAGGGACGAAUAAGUUUCAGCUAAUACCUGAAGCGAUGACGGUACCUCCUUAGCAAGCACCGGCUAACUCUGUGCCAGCCGCCGCCGUAA
rnacentral:rRNA from 1 species